UACGUAGGGUGCGAGCGUUGUUCGGAAUUACUGGGCGUAAAGCGCACGCAGGCGGUUCGAUUAGUCAGAAGUGAAAGCCCCGGGCUCAACCUGGGAAUUGCUUUUGUAUACUGUCGAGCUUGAAUCACGGAGAGGGUAGUGGAAUUCCGAGUGUAGAGGUGAAAUUCGUAGAUAUUCGGAAGAACACCAGUGGCGAAGGCGGCUCACUGGUCCAUUACUGACGCUGAGGUGCGAAAGCGUGGGGAGCAAACAGGAUUAGAAACCCGAGUAGU
rnacentral:rRNA from 1 species